AUACGUAGGUGACAAGCGUUAUCCGGAUUUACUGGGCGUAAAGGGCGUGUAGGCGGUCUUGCAAGUCAGAAGUGAAAUUCCUGAGCUCAACUCGGGCGCUGCUUCUGAAACUGCAGGACUUGAGUGCUGGAGGGGAUAGCGGAAUUCCUAGUGGAGCGGUAAAAUGCGCAGAUAUUAGGAAGAACACCGGUGGCGAAGGCGGCUAUCUGGACAGUAACUGACGCUGAGGCGCGAAAGCGUGGGGAGCAAACAGGAUUAGAUACCCUGGUAGACCACGCCGUAAACGAUGAAUACUAGGUGUAGGGGGUAUCGACUCCCUCUGUGCCGCAGUUAACACAAUAAGUAUUCCGCCUGGGGAGUACGGCCGCAAGGUUGAAACUCAAAUGAAUUGACGGGG
rnacentral:rRNA from 1 species